UACGGAGGAUCCGAGCGUUAUCCGGAUUUAUUGGGUUUAAAGGGUGCGUAGGUGGCUUUUUAAGUCAGCGGUGAAAACUGGCGGCUCAACCGCAAGAGUGCCGUUGAAACUGGGGAGCUAGAGUAUGAACGAGGUAGGCGGAAUGUGUGGUGUAGCGGUGAAAUGCAUAGAUAUCACGCAGAACUCCGAUAGCGAAGGCAGCUUACCAGGCCAUAACAGACACUGAAGCACGAAAGCGUGGGGAUCGAACAGG
rnacentral:rRNA from 1 species